rnacentral:rRNA from 1 species
GAUGAACGCUGGCGGCGUGCCUAACACAUGCAAGUCGAACGGAGAUUACGGACGGAAGUUUUCGGAUGGAAGCCUGUAAUUCUUAGUGGCGGACGGGUGAGUAACGCGUGGGCAACCUGCCCUAUACAGGGGGAUAGCAGCUGGAAACGGCUGGUAAGACCGCAUAAGUCGGCGAGACCGCAUGGUUUUGCCGGGAAAUGAGCAAUCAGGUAUAGGAUGGGCCCGCGUCCGAUUAGCCAGUUGGCAGGGUAAAAGCCUACCAAAGCAACGAUCGGUAGCCGGACUGAGAGGUCGGACGGCCACAUUGGGACUGAGACACGGCCCAAACUCCUACGGGAAGCAGCAGUGGGGGAUAUUGCACAAUGGAGGAAACUCUGAUGCAGCGACGCCGCGUGAGUGAAGAAGUAUUUCGGUAUGUAAAGCUCUAUCAGCAGGGAAGAUGAUGACGGUACCUGACUAAGAAGCCCCGGCUAACUACGUG